rnacentral:misc_RNA from 1 species
GAUGAAGAACGUAGCGAAAUGCGACAAGUAAUGCGAAUUGCAGAAUCCGUGAGUCAUCGAAUCUUUGAACGCACAUUGCGCCCUCUGGUAUUCCGGAGGGCAUGCCUGUUCGAGCGUCAUUAUCACCCCUCAAGCCCGGCUUGUUGUUGGAUGCAGCGCUUAUCCCGCUCCUCCCAAAGAUAAUGACGGCGUCUGCGACGACUCCUGUACACUGAGCUUUCGGGCACGUACACGGCUAGAAGUCCAGACCCGGUCGCCGUCCCCCCCGCGGGGACACCCAUUACCACAAGGUUGACCUCGGAUCAGGUAGGAAUACCCGCUGAACUUAAGCAUAUCAAUAAGCGGAGGA